UCAAAAAUGAUGAUAAAAUGUCACUGAAUGUUGGAUUCAAUCUAUUUUUGAGAGAAUCCGACUAACAAGGAUGUUCGCUUUUGCGAGGCAUUUGGCCGAUGUAUGA